AACUACAGGAGCAGCCAGGACUCUGGGUGCCCUUUACUCAUGGCCAUCCAAGCUUCAGACAGUCAAAGACACCUGGAGACUCUUUACAAAUCGUGGUUAUAAUGUCUAUCAUGGAUAAGCCACCAUGUGAGUCAGUCAUACCAAUCUACAGGUUCAAGGCAGACAAAGUGGAUGAGGAGUGCUGGCUACCAUACAGAUCAUAUGACCCACUGCAAACCCAGAGGUUCAGCAGGUCUAUGGUUGGUGUUUCCAUUGAAAUAAGGAAGUUUGUUGAGGGAAAAAGAAGAUGAGGAGAGGAGGAAGCACAGGACUUCUUGGCUUUGAUGUUCAAAGGAAUGAGCAGAUCCUCUUCAUGGGCAUAAACUGAACUACAAGAGCUAUGUUAACACUUACCUUGGCUCGGCUGUCCUGGGAACAGCAGACUGCAGCAUCCCAAAACUGACAUCUGCGCAUCUGUGUUGCCCUAAUGACCAGGUUGCACUGCAAAUCUCAUCUGCUGCUGUGGAAGGUA